AACGAACGCUGGCGGCAGGCUUAACACAUGCAAGUCGAGCGCCCUAGCAAUAGGGAGUGGCAGACGGGUGAGUAACGCGUGGGAACCUUCCCAUUGGUACGGAAUAGCCCAGGGAAACUUGGAGUAAUACCGUAUAAGCCCGAAAGGGGAAAGAUUUAUCGCCGAUGGAUGGGCCCGCGUAGGAUUAGCUAGUUGGUGAGGUAAUGGCUCACCAAGGCGACGAUCCUUAGCUGGUCUGAGAGGACGAUCAGCCACACUGGGACUGAGACACGGCCCAGACUCCUACGGGAGGCAGCAGUGGGGAAUAUUGGACAAUGGGCGCAAGCCUGAUCCAGCCAUGCCGCGUGAGUGACGAAGGCCUUAGGGUUGUAAAGCUCUUUUGGCGGGGACGAUAAUGACGGUACCCGCAGAAUAAGCCCCGGCUAACUUCGUGCCAGCAGCCGCGGUAACAC
rnacentral:rRNA from 1 species